GCUUUACUGUUCCCUGGCAUUGGGUCUCGGCCCUUCCUGCGCAGCCUAGGUGGGAGGCACAGAAGCUCCUCUUCCGGGAGGGGUCAAGCCAUCCGUGAGAGACCACCCUGGAAGGGCUAAGAUCCUAACCAAUUGGAACCGUGUCAGGCAGACAGUUUCAUCUGGGGCAGGUGGCCUCCCUAAAGGGUAACGGAGGCUGUGCAAAGGUUCCCUCAGGCUGGACGGGAAUCAGUUACGCGAGUGUAAAGGCAGAAGGGGAGCUUGACUGCAAGAACCAACAAGUCGAGCAGGGACGAAAGUCGGCCUUAGUGAUCCGACGGCUGCCGAGUGGAAGGGCCGUCGCUUCAUCGGAUAAAGGUUA
rnacentral:rRNA from 1 species